CCUACGGGUGGCAGCAGUGAGGAAUAUUGGUCAAUGGGCGGAAGCCUGAACCAGCCAAGUAGCGUGCAGGAUGACGGCCCUACGGGUUGUAAACUGCUUUUAUACGGGAAUAACGCGCCUUACGUGUAGGGCUUUGCAUGUAUCGUAUGAAUAAGGACCGGCAAAUUCCGUGCCAGCAGCCGCGGUAAUACGGAAGGUCCGGGCGUUAUCCGGGUUUAUUGGGUUUAAAGGGUGCGAAGGGGGUCGGUUAAGUCAGAGGUCAAGGCCCGGGGCUCAACCCCGGCCCGCCGUUGACACUGGCAGUCGUGAGUUGGAGAGAGGUAGGCGGAAUGCGCGGUGUAGCGGUGAAAUGCAUAGAUAUCGCGCAGAACUCCGAUUGCGAAGGCAGCAUGCCGGCUCCACACUGACGCUGAGGCACGAAAGCGUGGGUAUCGAACAGGAUUAGAUACCCUAGUAGUC
rnacentral:rRNA from 1 species